rnacentral:rRNA from 1 species
GAUGAACGCUGGCGGCGUGCCUAAUACAUGCAAGUCGAGCGAACGGACGAGAAGCUUGCUUCUCUGAUGUUAGCGGCGGACGGGUGAGUAACACGUGGAUAACCUACCUAUAGGACUGGGAUCACUUCGGGAAACCGGAGCUAAUACCGGAUGAUAUUUUGCACCGCAUGGUUCAAAAGUGAAAGACGGUCUUGCUGUCACUUAUAGAUGGAUCCGCGCUGCAUUAGCUAGUUGGUAAGGUAACGGCUUACCAAGGCAACGAUGCAUAGCCGACCUGAGAGGGUGAUCGGCCACACUGGAACUGAGACACGGUCCAGACUACUACGGGAGGCAGCAGUAGGGAAUCUUCCGCAAUGGGCGAAAGCCUGACGGAGCAACGCCGCGUGAGUGAUGAAGGUCUUCGGAUCGUAAAACUCUGUUAUUAGGGAAGAACAUAUGUGUAAGUAACUGUGCACAUCGUGACGGUACCUAAUCAGAAAGCCACGGCUAACUACGUG